CGGUGUUUAACUGGCGUGAUGUGGGACGUCCUACCGGUGGGCUUAGCCUCGCGAGGGGCGGCCCAACUAAUAUCCCGUCGCGGUGCUCUUUACUGAGUGUCGAGUCGGGCCGGUACGUUUACUUUGAACAAAUUAGAGUGCUUAAAGCAGGCUAUCCUCGCCUGAAUACUGCGUGCAUGGAAUAAUGGAAUAGGACCUCGGUUCUAUUUUGUUGGUUUUCGGAACCCCCGAGGUAAUGAUUAAUAGGGACAGAUGGGGGCAUUCGUAUUGCGACGUUAGAGGUGAAAUUCUUGGAUCGUCGCAAGACGGACAGAAGCGAAAGCAUUUGCCAAAAAUGUUUUCAUUAAUCAAGAACGAAAGUUAGAGGUUCGAAGGCGAUCAGAUACCGCCCUAGUUCUAACCAUAAACGAUGCCAGCUAGCGAUCCGCCGAAGUUCCUCCGAUGACUCGGCGGGCAGCUUCCGGGAAACCAAAGCUUUUGGGUUCCGGGGGAAGUAUGGUUGCAAAGAUGAAACUUAAAGGAAUUGACGGAAGGGCACCACCAGGAGUGGAGCCUGCGGCUUAAUUUGACUCAACACGGGAAACCUCACCAGGCCCAGACACCGGAAGGAUUGACAGAUUGAUAGCUCUUUCUUGAUUCGGUGGGGUGGUGGGGCAUGGCCGUUUUUAGUUGGUGGAGAGAUUUGUGUGGUUAAUUCUGAUAACGAACGAGACUCUAGCCUGCUAAAUAGGCGUACCUUAUGGUAUCGCGAAGGCCCCCGGCUUCGGCCGGUGGGUUUUUACUACCAACGUACAAACAAAUAAUUAGAGGGACAGGCGG
rnacentral:rRNA from 1 species